rnacentral:rRNA from 1 species
UCUUUAAUAUUGAACGUGAUUGUGCCGUGAGGCCUUAAUAUUAACACAACUUUUAACAACGGAUCUCUUGGCUCUCGCAUCGAUUAAGAACGCAGCGAAAUGCGAUAAGUAAUGUGAAUUGCAGAAUUCAGUGAAUCAUCGAAUUUUUGAACGCACCUUGCGCUCCCUGGUAUUCCGGGGAGCACGCCUGUUCGAGUGUCGUAAAAUUCUCAAACUGGGAUGCUUUUUUGUUUCUCGGCUUGGUGUUGGGCUUUGCAGAUCCAUUGAUUGGGAUAGCUGGCCUCAAACGCAUUAGCUGGCUUUUCAUGUGGCAUUGGUUCUACUCAGCGUGAUAAUGAUCUGACCGCCGAGGACAUCUAUCGGGAUGGCCAAUUCUCAUUUGGGCUGCUUCAA